GACGAACGCUGGCGGCGUGCUUAACACAUGCAAGUCGAACGGAAAGGCCCUGCUUUUGUGGGGUGCUCGAGUGGCGAACGGGUGAGUAACACGUGAGUAACCUGCCCUUGACUUUGGGAUAACUUCAGGAAACUGGGGCUAAUACCGGAUAGGAGCUCCUGCUGCAUGGUGGGGGUUGGAAAGUUUCGGCGGUUGGGGAUGGACUCGCGGCUUAUCAGCUUGGUGGUGGGGUAGUGGCUUACCAAGGCUUUGACGGGUAGCCGGCCUGAGAGGGUGACCGGCCACAUUGGGACUGAGAUACGGCCCAGACUCCUACGGGAGGCAGCAGUGGGGAAUAUUGCACAAUGGGCGGAAGCCUGAUGCAGCAACGCCGCGUGCGGGAUGACGGCCCUCGGGUUGUAAACCGCUUUCGCCUGUGACGAAGCGUGAGUGACGGUAAUGGGUAAAGAAGCACCGGCUAACUACGUG
rnacentral:rRNA from 1 species